rnacentral:rRNA from 1 species
AGUGAACGCUGGCGGUAGGCCUAACACAUGCAAGUCGAACGGCAGCACAGGAGAGCUUGCUCUCUGGGUGGCGAGUGGCGGACGGGUGAGGAAUACAUCGGAAUCUACUCUGUCGUGGGGGAUAACGUAGGGAAACUUACGCUAAUACCGCAUACGACCUACGGGUGAAAGCAGGGGACCUUCGGGCCUUGCGCGAUUGAAUGAGCCGAUGUCGGAUUAGCUAGUUGGCGGGGUAAAGGCCCACCAAGGCGACGAUCCGUAGCUGGUCUGGGAGGAUGAUCAGCACAACUGGAACUGAGACACGGUCCAGACUCCUACGGGAGGCAGCAGUGGGGAAUAUUGGACGAUGGGCGCAAGCCUGAUCCAGCCAUACCGCGUGGGUGAAGAAGGCCUUCGGGUUGUAAAGCCCUUUUGUUGGGAAAGAAAUCCAGCUGGCUAAUACCCGGUUGGGAUGACGGUACCCAAAGAAUAAGCACCGGCUAACUUCGUGCCAGCAGCCGCCGUAA